AGCGUAGACGGAGUGGCAAGUCUGAUGUGAAAACCCGGGGCUCAACCCCGGGACUGCAUUGGAAACUGUCAAUCUAGAGUACCGGAGAGGUAAGCGGAAUUCCUAGUGUAGCGGUGAAAUGCGUAGAUAUUAGGAGGAACACCAGUGGCGAAGGCGGCUUACCGGACGGUAACUGACGUUGAGGCUCGAAAGCGUGGGGAGCAAACAA
rnacentral:rRNA from 1 species